AGGCUGAGCUGUGAUGGGGAGAAGGCAUUGUGUCUUCGAGUCGUUGAUUUCACACUGCCGAGAAAAGCCUCUAGAUAGAAAAUAGGUGCCCGUACCGCAAACCGACACAGGUAGUCAAGAUGAGAAUUCUAAGGUGAGCGAGCGAACUCUCGUUAAGGAACUCGGCAAAAUGACCCCGUAACUUCGGGAGAAGGGGUGCUCUUUAGGGUUAACGCCCAGAAGAGCCGCAGUGAAUAGGCCCAAGCGACUGUUUAUCAAAAACACAGGUCUCUGCUAAACCGUAAGGUGAUGUAUAGGGGCUGACGCCUGCCCGGUGCUGGAAGGUUAAGAGGAGUGGUUAGCUUCUGCGAAGCUACGAAUCGAAGCCCCAGUAAACGGCGGCCGUAACUAUAACGGUCCUAAGGUAGCGAAAUUCCUUGUCGGGUAAGUUCCGACCCGCACGAAAGGCGUAACGAUUUGGGCACUGUCUCAACGAGAGACUCGGUGAAAUCAUAGUACCUGUGAAGAUGCAGGUUACCCGCGACAGGACGGAAAGACCCCGUGGAGCUUUACUGUAGCCUGAUAUUGAAAUUCGGCACAGCUUGUACAGGAUAGGUAGGAGCCUUUGAAACGUGAGCGCUAGCUUACGUGGAGGCGCUGGUGGGAUACUACCCUAGCUGUGUUGGCUUUCUAACCCGCACCACUUAUCGUGGUGGGAGACAGUGUCAGGCGGGCAGUUUGACUGGGGCGGUCGCCUCCUAAAAGGUAACGGAGGCGCUCAAAGGUUCCCUCAGAAUGGUUGGAAAUCAUUCAUAGAGUGUAAAGGCAUAAGGGAGCUUGACUGCGAGACCUACAAGUCGAGCAGGGUCGAAAGACGGACUUAGUGAUCCGGUGGUUCCGCAUGGAAGGGCCAUCGCUCAACGGAUAAAAGCUACCCCGGGGAUAACAGGCUUAUCUCCCCCAAGAGUUCACAUCGACGGGGAGGUUUGGCACCUCGAUGUCGGCUCAUCGCAUCCUGGGGCUGUAGUCGGUCCCAAGGGUUGGGCUGUUCGCCCAUUAAAGCGGUACGCGAGCUGGGUUCAGAACGUCGUGAGACAGUUCGGUCCCUAUCCGUCGUGGGCGUAGGAAAUUUGAGAGGAGCUGUCCUUAGUACGAGAGGACCGGGAUGGACAUACCUCUGGUGUACCAGUUGUCGUGCCAACGGCAUAGCUGGGUAGCUAUGUGUGGACGGGAUAAGUGCUGAAAGCAUCUAAGCAUGAAGCCCCCCUCAAGAUGAGAUUUCCCAACUUCGGUUAUAAGAUCCCUCAAAGAUGAUGAGGUUAAUAGGUUCGAGGUGGAAGCAUGGUGACAUGUGGAGCUGACGAAUACUAAUCGAUCGAA
rnacentral:rRNA from 1 species